UACGUAGGUGGCAAGCGUUAUCCGGAAUUAUUGGGCGUAAAGAGCGCGCAGGUGGUUAAUUAGGUCUGAUGUGAAAGCCCACGGCUUAACCGUGGAGGGUCAUUGGAAACUGGUUAACUUGAGUGCAGAAGAGGGAAGUGGAAUUCCAUGUGUAGCGGUGAAAUGCGUAGAGAUAUGGAGGAACACCAGUGGCGAAGGCGGCUUCCUGGUCUGCAACUGACACUGAGGCGCGAGAGCGUGGGGAGCAAACAGG
rnacentral:rRNA from 1 species